rnacentral:rRNA from 1 species
UGGGGAAUAUUGAACAAUGGGCGAAAGCCUGAUCCAGCCAUGCCGCGUGAGUGAUGAAGGCCCUAGGGUUGUAAAGCUCUUUCACCGGUGAAGAUAAUGACGGUACCCGCAGAAUAAGCCCCGGCUAACUUCGUGCCAGCAGCCGCGGUAAUACGGAGGGAGCUAGCGUUGUUCGGAAUUACUGGGCGUAAAGCGUACGUAGGCGGUGACUCAAGUCAGAGGUGAAAGCCUGGAGCUCAACUCCAGAACUGCCUUUGAAACUAGGUCGCUAGAAUCACGGAGAGGUGAGUGGAAUUCCGAGUGUAGAGGUGAAAUUCGUAGAUAUUCGGAAGAACACCAGUGGCGAAGGCGGCUCACUGGACGUGUAUUGACGCUGAGGUACGAAAGCGUGGGGAGCAAACAGGAUUAGAUACCCUAGUAGUCCCUGAGCGGGCUGGCAAGGCGCAU